rnacentral:rRNA from 1 species
GUAACGCUUGCACCCUCCGUAUUACCGCGGCUGCUGGCACGGAGUUAGCCGGUGCUUAUUCAUAUGGUACCGUCAUUAUCUUCCCAUAUAAAAGGAGUUUACGCACCGAAAUGUGUCAUCCUCCACGCGGCGUUGCUGCAUCAGGGUUUCCCCCAUUGUGCAAUAUUCCCCACUGCUGCCUCCCGUAGGAGUCUGGACCGUGUCUCAGCUCCAGUGUGGCUGAUCAUCCUCUCAGACCAGCUAGGCGUCAUUGGCUUGGUAGGCUCUUACCCCACCAACUACCUGAUACCAUAUAGUCUCAUCCUUCAGCGAAAAAACAUUUCCCAACUACCAUUAAGAUAGAAGGUAUAUGAGGUAUUAGCUACCGUUUCCAGUAGUUAUCCCUCUCUGAAGGGCAGAUUAACUAUACAUUACUCACCCGUCCGCCACUUAGCUGACAGUCUAGCAAGCUAGACCCGUUCUCGUUCGACUUGCAUGUGUUAAGCACGCCGCCAGCGUUCACUCUGAGCCAGGAUCAAACUCUCCAUUAAAAAUGAAAUGGUUUGAACCAUUUGUCAGAAUCACUUAUUGUAUUUCUAUAAUAAGUUUCUUCUAUCCAGCUUUUUAAAAACUGGUAAAAUUAAAACUCAAAGGAAUAGACGGGGACCCGCACAAGUGGUGGAGCAUGUGGUUUAAUUCGAAAAUACGCGAAGAACCUUACCUAGCCUUGACAUAUAUUAGAACUCCGCAGAGAUGCAGAGGUGCCUUCGGGAGCUUUUAUACAGGUGCUGCACGGCUGUCGUCAGCUCGUGUCGUGAGAUGUUGGGUUAAGUCCCGCAACGAGCGCAACCCUCGUCACUAGUUACUAACGGUUCGGCCGAGGACUCUAGUGAGACUGCCUUCGUAAGGAGGAGGAAGGUGAGGACGACGUCAAGUCAUCAUGGCCCUUACGGCUAGGGCAACACACGUGCUACAAUGGCCAGGACAGUGAGAAGCGAUACCGCGAGGUGGAGCAAAUCUAUAAACCUGGUCUCAGUUCGGAUUGUAGUCUGCAACUCGACUACAUGAAGCUGGAAUCACUAGUAAUCGUAGAUCAGCUAUGCUACGGUGAAUACGUUCCCGGGUCUUGUACUCACCGCCCGUCACACCAUGGGAGUUGAUUUCACCCGAAGCGGGGAAGCUAAACUGGCUACCCUCCACGGUGGAAUUAGCGACUGGGGUGAAGUCG